GCUGGUUUGGCUCAGUGGAUAGAGUGUCGGCCUGGUAGACUGAAAAGUCCUGAGUUCAAUUCUGAUCAAGCA
rnacentral:tRNA from 1 species